AGUGAACGCUGGCGGUAGGCCUAACACAUGCAAGUCGAACGGCAGCACAGUAAGAGCUUGCUCUUACGGGUGGCGAGUGGCGGACGGGUGAGGAAUACAUCGGAAUCUACUUUUUCGUGGGGGAUAACGUAGGGAAACUUACGUUAAUACCGCAUACGACCUACGGGUGAAAGCAGGGGAUCUUCGGACCUUGCGCGAUUGAAUGAGCCGAUGUCGGAUUAGCUAGUUGGCGGGGUAAAGGCCCACCAAGGCGACGAUCCGUAGCUGGUCUGAGAGGAUGAUCAGCCACACUGGAACUGAGACACGGUCCAGACUCCUACGGGAGGAAGCAGUGGGGAAUAUUGGACAAUGGGCGCAAGCCUGAUCCAGCCAUACCGCGUGGGUGAAGAAGGCCUUCGGGUUGUAAAGCCCUUUUGUUGGGAAAGAAAAGCAGCAGGUUAAUACCCCGCUGUUCUGACGGUACCCAAAGAAUAAGCACCGGCUAACUUCGUG
rnacentral:rRNA from 1 species